CCUACCCUAAAGUGGGGGAUAACAUUUGGAAACAGAUGCUAAUACCGCAUAACAAUCAAAACCGCAUGGUUUUGAUUUGAAAGAUGGUUUCGGCUAUCACUUUUGGAUGGACCCGCGGCGUAUUAGUUAGUUGGUGAGGUAACGGCUCACCAAGACAUUGAUACGUAGCCGACCUGAGAGGGUAAUCGGCCACAUUGGGACUGAGACACGGCCCAAACUCCUACGGGAGGCAGCAGUAGGGAAUCUUCCACAAUGGACGAAAGUCUGAUGGAGCAACGCCGCGUGAGUGAAGAAGGUUUUCGGAUCGUAAAACUCUGUUAUUGGAGAAGAACGUACUUGGUAGUAACUGGCCAGGUAGUGACGGUAUCCAACCAGAAAGCCACGGCUAACUACGUGCCAGCAGCCGCGGUAAUACGUAGGUGGCAAGCGUUAUCCGGAUUUAUUGGGCGUAAAGCGAGUGCAGGCGGUUUCUUAAGUCUGAUGUGAAAGCCUUCGGCUUAACCGAAGAAAUGCAUUGGAAACUGGGGAACUUGAGUGCAGAAGAGGAGAGUGGAACUCCAUGUGUAGCGGUGAAAUGCGUAGAUAUAUGGAAGAACACCAGUGGCGAAGGCGGCUCUCUG
rnacentral:rRNA from 1 species